GUAAAUGAGCUUAAAUACCUCAAAGGCACCAGAUCCGGCCUGACCAUGGAAGCUAAGCAGGGUCAUCCCUGGUUAGUACUUGGUUGGGAGACUGGUAGGAAAGACCAGGUGCUGUACGCU
rnacentral:rRNA from 1 species